CAGAAGGGAGUGGAAUUCCCGCGUGAAGCAGUGAAAUGCGUAGAUAUGCCGAAGGAACACAGAUGGCGAAGGCAAACUCCCUGGGCCUGCACUGACGCUCAAGCACGAAAAGCGUGGGGAAGCAAACAGGAUUAGAUACCCUGGUAGUCCACGCCCUAAACGAUGUCGACUAGUUGUUGGACGGGUUACUGUUCAGUAACGUAGCUAACGCGUGAAAGUCGACCGCCUGGGGAGUACGGCCGCAAGGUUAAAACUCAAAGGAAUUGACGGGGACCCGCACAAGCGGUGGGAUGAUGUGGUUUAAUUCGAUGCAACGCGAAAAACCUUACCUACCCUUGACAUGCCAGGAACUUACCAGAGAUGGUUUGGUGCUCGAAAGAGAACCUGGACACAGGUGCUGCAUGGCUGUCGUCAGCUCGUGUCGUGAGAUGUUGGGUUAAGUCCCGCAACGAGCGCAACCCUUGUCAUUAGUUGCUACGCAAGAGCACUCUAAUGAGACCGCCGGUGACAAACCGGAGGAAGGUGGGGAUGACGUCAAGUCCUCAUGGCCCUUAUGGGUAGGGCUACACACGUCAUACAAUGGGCGGUACAGAGGGUUGCCAACCCGCGAGGGGGAGCCAAUCCCUUAAAACCGCUCGUAGUCCGGAUUGUGGUCUGCAACUCGACUGCAUGAAGUCGGAAUCACUAGUAAUCGCGGAUCAGCUUGCCGCGGUGAAUACGUUCCCGGGUCUUGUACACACCGCCCGUCACACCAUGGAAGUGGGGUUUACCAGAAGUAGUUAGCUUAACCGCAAGGGGGGCGAUUACCACGGUAGGCUUCAUGACUGGGGUGAAGUGGUAACAAGGAGG
rnacentral:rRNA from 1 species